UGAGUAAUGUCUGGGAAACUGCCCGAUGGAGGGGGAUAACUACUGGAAACGGUAGCUAAUACCGCAUAACGUCUUCGGACCAAAGUGGGGGACCUUCGGGCCUCACACCAUCGGAUGUGCCCAGAUGGGAUUAGCUAGUAGGUGGGGUAAUGGCUCACCUAGGCGACGAUCCCUAGCUGGUCUGAGAGGAUGACCAGCCACACUGGAACUGAGACACGGUCCAGACUCCUACGGGAGGCAGCAGUGGGGAAUAUUGCACAAUGGGCGCAAGCCUGAUGCAGCCAUGCCGCGUGUAUGAAGAAAGCCUUCGGGUUGUAAAGUACUUUCAGUGGGGAGGAAGGCGUUAAGGUUAAUAACCUUGACGAUUGACGUUACCCGCAGAAGAAGCACCGGCUAACUCCGUGCCAGCAGCCGCGGUAAUACGGAGGGUGCAAGCGUUAUCGGAAUUACUGGGGCGUAAAGCGCACGCAGGCGGUCUGUCAAUCGAUGUGAAUCCCCGGG
rnacentral:rRNA from 1 species